rnacentral:rRNA from 1 species
GUAACAGCACUUCGGUGGCUGACGAGUGGCGCACGGGUGCGUAACGCGUAUACAAUCUGCCUCCUACAGGGGAAUAGCCCAGAGAAAUUUGGAUUAAUGCCCCAUGGCAUAUAUUUUCGGCAUCGUUAAUAUAUUAAAGAUUCAUCGGUAGGAGAUGAGUAUGCGUUCUAUUAGCUAGUAGGUGCGGUAACGGCGCACCUAGGCGACGAUAGAUAGGGGCCCUGAGAGGGGGAUCCCCCACACUGGUACUGAGACACGGACCAGACUCCUACGGGAGGCAGCAGUGAGGAAUAUUGGACAAUGGGCGAGAGCCUGAUCCAGCCAUGCCGCGUGCAGGAAGACUGCCCUAUGGGUUGUAAACUGCUUUUAUACGGGAAGAAACACUCCCUCGUGAGGGGGCUUGACGGUACCGUAAGAAUAAGGAUCGGCUAACUCCGUGCCAGCAGCCGCGGUAAUACGGAGGAUCCAAGCGUUAUCCGGAAUCAUUGGGUUUAAAGGGUCCGUAGGUGGACGGUUAAGUCAGAGGUGAAAUCCUGCAGCUCAACUGUAGAAUUGCCUUUGAUACUGGUCGUCUUGAGUCAUUGUGAAGUGGUUGGAAUAUGUAGUGUAGCGGUGAAAUGCAUAGAUAUUACAUAGAACACCGAUUGCGAAGGCAGAUCACUAACAAUGUACUGACACUGAUGGACGAAAGCGUGGGGAGCGAACAGGAUUAGAUACCCUGGUAGUCCACGCCGUAAACGAUGGUCACUAGCUGUCCGGACCUUGUGUCUGGGUGGCUAAGCGAAAGUGAUAAGUGACCCA